CAGUAGCCGCGGUAAUACGUAGGUGGCAAGCGUUGUCCGGAAUUAUUGGGCGUAAAGGGCUCCCAGGCGGUUUCUUAAGUCUGAUGUGAAAGCCCCCGGCUCAACCGGGGAGGGUCAUUGGAAACUGGGAAACUUGAGUGCAGAAGAGGAGAGUGGAAUUCCACGUGUAGCGGUGAAAUGCGUAGAGAUGUGGAGGAACACCAGUGGCGAAGGCGACUCUCUGGUCUGUAACUGACGCUGAGGAGCGAAAGCGUGGGGAGCGAACAGGAUUAGAUACCCCGGUAGUCCCUGUCUCUUAUAC
rnacentral:rRNA from 1 species